rnacentral:rRNA from 1 species
AUUGAACGCUGGCGGCAGGCCUAACACAUGCAAGUCGAGCGGAUGACGGGAGCUUGCUCCUUGAUUCAGCGGCGGACGGGUGAGUAAUGCCUAGGAAUCUGCCUGGUAGUGGGGGACAACGUUUCGAAAGGAACGCUAAUACCGCAUACGUCCUACGGGAGAAAGCAGGGGACCUUCGGGCCUUGCGCUAUCUGAUGAGCCUAGGUCGGAUUAGCUAGUUGGUGGGGUAAUGGCUCACCAAGGCGACGAUCCGUAACUGGUCUGAGAGGAUGAUCAGUCACACUGGAACUGAGACACGGUCCAGACUCCUACGGGAGGCAGCAGUGGGGAAUAUUGGACAAUGGGCGAAAGCCUGAUCCAGCCAUGCCGCGUGUGUGAAGAAGGUCUUCGGAUUGUAAAGCACUUUAAGUUGGGAGGAAGGGCAGUAAGUUAAUACCUUGCUGUUUUGACGUUACCGACAGUAUAAGCACCGGCUAACUCUGUGCCAGCAGCCGCCGUAAAAC